AAUGCCCAGUCCCCAGCUCGCCAGCGUUUUUCGUUGGAAUAUACGUUGCACAUUUAUGGCGAUUCUGAAUGUGAGAGCAGAUUUCUGCCAGGCUGAGCACAGCGUUUUCGCUGACAAGUGAGCUUGGAGGUUCUAUGUGCCAUAAUUAACAUUGCCUUGAAGACUUCUGGACACCGAGACUGGCCUCAGAAAUAGUUGGCUAUUUAUUUAUUUAUUUAUUUAUUUAUUUAUUUAUUUAUUUAUUUAUUUUGAGACGGCGUCUCGCUCUGUCGCCCAGGCUGGAGUGCAGUGGCGCGAUCUCAGCUCACUGCAACCUCCGCUUCCUGGGUUCACGCCAUUCU
rnacentral:lncRNA from 1 species